CGGAGCUUCGAUAGAAUCUCAAUGAAUUUCUUAUAUGGGCCGGAGAUGUCUGAAUGGGGGAACCCACCUAACAUAAGUUAGGUAUCUUAAGCUGAAUACAUAGGCUUAAGAAGCGAACCAGGGGAACUGAAACAUCUAAGUACCCUGAGGAAAAGAAAUCAACCGAGAUUCCCUUAGUAGUGGCGAGCGAACGGGGACCAGCCCUUAAGCUGUAUUGAUGUUAGCGGAACGCUCUGGAAAGUGCGGCCAUAGUGGGUGAUAGCCCUGUACGCGAAAACAUCUUUGCAGUGAAAUCGAGUAGGACGGAGCACGAGAAACUUUGUCUGAAUAUGGGGGGACCAUCCUCCAAGGCUAAAUACUACUGACUGACCGAUAGUGAACUAGUACCGUGAGGGAAAGGCGAAAAGAACCCCGGAGAGGGGAGUGAAAUAGAUCCUGAAACCGUAUGCGUACAAGCAGUGGGAGCCCACUUUGUUGGGUGACUGCGUACCUUUUGUAUAAUGGGUCAGCGACUUAUUUUCAGUGGCAAGCUUAACCGAAUAGGGGAGGCGUAGCGAAAGCGAGUCUUAAUAGGGCGUCUAGUCGCUGGGAAUAGACCCGAAACCGGGCGAUCUAUCCAUGGGCAGGUUGAAGGUUGGGUAACACUAACUGGAGGACCGAACCGACUACCGUUGAAAAGUUAGCGGAUGGCCUGUG
rnacentral:rRNA from 1 species